GGCGCCCAGGAACCGUCGCGCCCUGCCCGGCUCCCCGACCGCCCCUCCCUCCUGCGCCGAGGCCUGCCAGGAUCUGGCAGCCUUGGCCCAAGCAAUCCCAGUGGGCGCAUCUUGGGAGCUGACUUUGGGGCCACCUUUCCCCAUGCUGCCUGGGGACCAGAGAACACUGACCGCGGGAAAGACCGAUGCUGCCGAGGCCAGGAGGAGGGGGAGGCCGUCAUCUGUGGGUCCCCAGCAGCGCUUGGGGUCCUGGCCACUCCAGCGGCCCCUUGCACCUGCCUCCAGGGAUCCUUUGUCUUCAAAAUAACCUCCCUCCACCUUCCGGCUCAUAGUGCCUUGGGUGGAUCUGUUCCCAUUUCCCACAAGCCUGCAGGGUGGUGACAGGCCCUCAUUCCCAUGUGCCCCAAGAUUUCGGAUUCCAAAAAUACAUCCCCUGGCUCCCCGGAGAAGUGUGUCACGGUGUCUCCGUUUCACCACUGACAGGGCCAAAGGAUGUGCUCUCCUCUCCCGAGCUGCCAUGGUCAAGGGCUCACCUAGAUAACCCAGGACAGUCCCCUCAUCUCACAAUGACGCCCCCAGUCGGGCUGCCGAGACCGUGCCUGCUGAGCCUAACAUUCCAAGGUUCCAGGAGCUGGGGUGUGGACGGACCUGGGGCCUGCCAUGCCCUCCAAGUGCUGCCCUGCCCCUUGAAGGCCAGGCCAGUCCUGGAAGCUGGGAAGGCCAAGAUCAAGGCGCAGGCAGAUCGGGGGUCUGGUGAGGGGCUUCCUGGUUUCCUGACAGCUGACUUCUCACACGGUGGAAAGAGGGCUACGGAGCUCUCUGGCCUCCUCUUGUAAGGACACUAAUCCCAUUCCCAGGGGCUCCACCCUCAUGACCUGCUCACCUCCCAAGGGCCCCACCUCCUAACGCCAUCACACUGGGAGUAGGGUUUCAACAUGUACAUUUCAGGAGGACACAAACCUUCAGUCCAUCGGGCAUAUGGGGGACGGGUGGGAGCACGUGUUAGCUGGUGCAUGGGUGGGUGGGUGAGUCAAGGGGGGCUCAUAGGCCCCUGUUCACACCACUUGGUCGGAAGGGGGCUUUUACCUGGGUGUGGUCACCCCCAGCACCACUGGGGCCUUAUGACUUUUAUCACCAAAGCUCUACAAGGUGGCAGUCAUGAAUGAGAAACUGAGGCUCCGAGGGGAGGUGCUGGGCUCAGGCUCACCAGCUGCAGGGUGCCACAUCUCAUACCCCAUCCUCCGCUCCCAGCCCUGAGGAGCCCUCAGAGCCCAGCCUGUCCCAGGCUCUCUGCCCAGUGGCAGAGGAGACCCAGGCCUCAUUUGGUGGUUGCCAAAGGCACAAAGGCAGUCCCCGCUCAGUGAUGCUAUGGUCCCCUCCCUGAAUCCACAUGCAGAGAUCAGGGCUGGAGAUGGCCCCAGUGACCUGGGGACUGGCCAGCACCUUGGACACUGUGGCUGAUUAUCUGGGCUAAGCACACAGCUUCAAGAGUCUACCUGGAAGCUAGGCACAGUGAGCCCCGUAGUCCCAGCUACUCAGGAGGCCGAGGCGAGAGGAUCAUGUGAGCACGGGAG
rnacentral:lncRNA from 10 species